rnacentral:rRNA from 1 species
UACGUAGGCAGCGAGCGUUGUUCGGAGUUACUGGGCGUAAAGGGUGUGUAGGCGGUUGUUUAAGUUUGGUGUGAAAUCUCCCGGCUCAACUGGGAGGGUGCGCCGAAUACUGAAUGACUUGGAGUGCGGGAGAGGAGAGUGGAAUUCCUGGUGUAGCGGUGAAAUGCGUAGAUAUCAGGAGGAACACCGGUGGUGUAGACGGCUCUCUGGACCGUAACUGACGCUGAGACACGAAAGCUAGGGGAGCAAACGGG